UGCCUGAUGGAGGGGGAUAACUACUGGAAACGGUAGCUAAUACCGCAUAACGUCGCAAGACCAAAGAGGGGGACCUUCGGGCCUCUUGCCAUCGGAUGUGCCCAGAUGGGAUUAGCUAGUAGGUGGGGUAACGGCUCACCUAGGCGACGAUCCCUAGCUGGUCUGAGAGGAUGACCAGCCACACUGGAACUGAGACACGGUCCAGACUCCUACGGGAGGCAGCAGUGGGGAAUAUUGCACAAUGGGCGCAAGCCUGAUGCAGCCAUGCCGCGUGUAUGAAGAAGGCCUUCGGGUUGUAAAGUACUUUCAGCGGGGAGGAA
rnacentral:rRNA from 1 species